rnacentral:lncRNA from 1 species
AUUUUUCAUCAAUAGGUUGUAUUUUUAAAUAAUUUUCUUAAAAACUGCUAUUUUUGGAAAGUUUUAAUUUUAUAGAUAAAUAUUGUAGAUUAGGGUUUGUGAUUUAAAAAUUAGGAUAACUAGACUAUUUAUGGAAAGAUGAAUACUCUUUAAGAAAUUUUCAUCAACAUGUUGUAUUUUUAAAUAAUUUUCUUAAAAACUGCUAUUUUUGGAAAGUUUUCAUUUUUAGAGAAAUAUUAUAGAUAAGAGUUUGUGAUUUAGAAAUUAGUAUAACAAGAAUAUUUAUUGAUAGAUGAUUCUUUCGAUUUUUUUCAUCAAUAGGUUGUAUUUUUAAACAAUUAUCUUAAAAACUGCAACUUUUGAUUUUUGGAAAGUUUUCAUUUUUUUAGAGAAAUAUUGUAGAUUUGAGUUUGUGGUUUAAAAAUUAAGAUAACAAAAAUAUUUGUGGAUAAUUGAGUAUUCUUUUAGAAAUUUUGCAUCAACAAGUUGUAUUUGAAAUAAUUUUC